AGUCCCGCACCUCCCCACCUUGCGAGCCCAGCCCGGGCUGCGCUUUCCUUCCGGGGAAAGAGAAAAAGAUCCCGGCUCGGCCGCCUCCUCUUAAAGGGGCAGCACCGCCCCUCCCUCCUCAUCCUCCCUACCCCAGCUCCGCCUUCUCCCCCAAACACCUGUCGGCAACCCCCAAAGGCUUAGAUUUCCCCUCCCCGCCCCUCGCUUCUCCGAGAAAGCGUCGCCUGGGGAGCAAGAUGGAUGUGACGGGCGGGGCCGGGGGUGGGAUUUGUCUGGCCGCUUUCCUGCGGCUGCUGCUGCUGCUGCUGAAAAGGCCAGCCGGGCUGGAGAGACCUGGCAUUGGCGCAUCUGGGAACCGACGUCCGUGCGCGGCUGGCUAGAAUGCUGGACUCGCCUCCGCAGCGCUGGCCUGCAGGGAUUAGAAGACAUGUGGGGUCAAGGAACAGGAAGCUGACCUGGAUGGAAGUUGAACAGUGAUCUUUGCUCUCUGCCUGGCUCCUGAGUCCUCUGCCAUGUUCCUGGAGAAGAGGAGCCAGCCAGGGUAAGAAGGGCAGGGGCUUAGGGUGGAAACGCCAUGUGGGUGAGGAUCCUGCCUGAAACAGCUUUGAGAGUCCUGCGAUGACAGAUUGGCCCCAUGCCAGGCCUUAUCUCUUUGGACAUCCCAAACAGGAAUGACCAGCAUGUCCGAUCCUGGGACUGGGAGCCGGAAAGGGAUGAGGGAUGGUUUUUCCACUCCAGGGGAGUGUCCAGAGGGAAUGUGGAGCAGAGCAGGGGCGACUGGUAGGGGGAGGGCCUGAGCUAAAGAAUGUGGGGGAGUGUCAGACCAGUCUGGGGAGAUGGAGUGGGAGUGGAGGGAGACAUGGAGACUAGAAGGAUCUCAGCUGGAGAGAUGGAGAAAGAGAAAUCUCAGGGUUCUUUGGUUUCAGUGGCACCGUCGUCUGUAGGAUCAUCUCAUCCCUCAGUUGACUUUAUCAUGUCAACUCUUUAUCUGUCAACCCUCCCCCAUGGGGAAGAGACCCACCUAGAAACACACAGACAGACAGAGAAACAAGGACACAGGAAUAAUAUGUGUAAUGAGGAGUCUAAGUCCAUUUGUUGAUGUUUGCUGACAGAUUUUAAGCCUCACCCUUCCCUCUUCUCUGUGCCCUACACCUGGACAAGCUGAUAAGAAAGUCUGGGUGCACCCUCCUUUGGUGUUUGAGGGGGAAUAUUCACAAGCCCCUUCCUGAGGGAACCCUCACCCCUCAACCACAAUAAAAACCCAGGCCAGUCUCCUUCCUGGCUCUCCCAACACAUCUGGGACCUGCUUGAAAGACUGCCCCUGCUCCCCCUGGAGACCUCAAUUAUGUAAAUAAUAAACCUUUUCAUACUCUCUCCUCUGCAGGUGACCGUAACAACAUGCAAAUGGUGAGUUCUGCUGGGGGGUCAUGGAAGCUCCCUGGAGGAGGUGUAUCUGGACAACAGGGAAAGAAAGGAGCUGGAGAAGAGAGGCAGAAAAAUUGGGUCCUGGUUCAGGUGAAGUUUUCCCAGCUGGAACAAUGACAAUGUCAAUAUCCCACAAAGGCGGCUUCUGUUUAUUUAGCGCUUGCUGUGUUCCCACAAGUCUUCCUCUACCUGCCCUCUCCCCAGCCCUCAUCUCACUCUCCCAGAGCCCCAGAGCACACCAAUGGACACCAUCACCUCUCGGGCAGAUCAGCACAGAGACGUGAAGCACACAGGCAGCUGCUGGAAAAAUAACAAGGAAUUGCAAUGGUGUGCCCCUCCGUUGAAUGCAAGCUCUCUUCUGCCUUCUCACCUUGGGCAAGUUACCUUCCGUUCCAGGCCUCGGUUUCUCCAUGUGUGAAAUGAAAGGGCUGGAGAGAAAUCUCUCACUAUUCCCCAAUCUACAUUCAUUGUAUCCCAAACCUUCUAAUAUCUGUUCAACGAAGUGUACCAAAUCUCAGCUAUUGGACUGAGACUCAGGGGUCUAUCUGACUUGAAUUGAAAAUGCAAAUUACUGAAGAGGGAGGGAGGGAGGAGUGCUGAAGAUUGAAUGGAUUUAUCAGAUUUCCUUCUCCUAUGGCCCAGAUGCAGGCCUAGUCCAGGCGAUUCCCCUGGCUCAGAAUCUGCCAGGCUCAAGCAUUCAUUGACAGCCUACUAUGUACCAAUCCUGGGCUGAGUCCCAACCCGGGGAUGACUUAGAGGAGGCCAGGAUGUGGCCUCAUGUUCUGGUUGCUCUCACAUUUAAACAGGCUAAACCCACUUUGCAUUGUAUGUUAGGGGUGGUGCUUGUGGGACAAAGGGGGCUGUCAGAACAUUCUGGCUGCCACAUGAAGUUGACUUUGCCAGGACAGACUGGGUUGUGGGGGAAGGCAGCUACUGUAAUAAUUUGGCCAAGAAGUGGGCUGAGCAGGAGCAGGGCUGAGGGAGGGAGAGAGGGAAUGAGUAAGAAAGGCCCAGGGUACUGAUUUGACUGGGACUUCAGGGACAGGUGUGGGGCGAGAGGGAUGCUGGAAGUGAAGGAGGGAAAGUGCAGAGGCUUUCUGGGGAUUAAUAGGCAAUGAUCUCUAUGAGGGCGUGGUGAGUAGGCCCCAAACAUCCGGGGACUUCCCUGCCUGCCAUCCCUCUGUCUCUCUCUUCCUUUCCUACUGCCCAGGGCCUGGCCCUGCUGCACAUGCCCUGCCCUGGCCCCCAGAGUCCCCUUCUUUCCUGGCUGGGAGAUUAAGACUCUGCUGUGCCUACAGCAUUCUCAACCUCAAGUCAAGGUGGCCCUUUGGAGCCCAGGAGGCCACAUGGCUGAGUCAGGGCUGAGUCACCACCCCCCAAGGGCCUUGCCAUUUCCUGUGGAGAAGCCUCUUUACUGGCAGGGUUCUGUGCUCAGGUGGGAAAUCUGGAGAGGUCGGGGGCAGGGCUUCAUCUACUUUUACCCACUAACUCCCUAGACACUCCACUGGGGGUAGAGGGUUCCUACACGUAUGAUGAUCAAAACAUGUGUCUGUGCACAUGGGCCCUUAUGCAUUCACAGGUGUUUGCCUAUGCGACUGCAUGUCUGAAUGUUUUAUGUAUAUUUGAAUAUAGAUAGGGAACAAAUAUUUAUGGAGCACAUAUUAUGUGUGCAGCCUUUUACGUGUGUUACUUUCUAAUAACCCUAGGAGGCGUAGAUGCCUCCCAGGCUAUGGUUGAAAAUACUGACAUGCCCAAGGUGCAGGAGGUAUGAAUACCUCCCCACUGUGGCUGGUAACACCCCAGGUUUCUCCAACUCCACAGUGAUGGGCUUUCCUCCAGAGCCGGUUCCUCAGGGGCAGGAGUGAGAAGUGUGUGUGUCUGUAUUUAUCCUUCCACCAGUGGCUGUGAUUGGUCCUGUGGUUGGAAACAGGGUCAAGUAAGGCCCUUGGGAGUAGCUGGGUGAAUGGACGAUGGUGGCGUCCACCUUGGACAUGGCACAUACUUCUGGUCGGGUAUCCACGUGGCUGGCCAACCCGGACCUGCCCUAUUAGGGGCCAUCGCCCUCAUGGCUCAUCAGUGCUGAGUUUCAUUGCCUUCUUCGUAAUGCAAUACUAAUGGAUACAGGCAUGUAUCUGCCGUACACUAGAUGAAAUGUGGUUAUUUGCUCAGGUAGAAAUAAAGACUAAAAUACCAAAGUGGGAAAUCCUCUCCAUUGUGCCUUACUGAUAUUUAGGUAAAAAUUAUCUUAUUGGCUCUUUUUUUUUUUUUUUUGAGAGGGAGUCUCACUCUGCCCAGGCUGAAGUGCAAUGGCACAGUCUUGGCUUACUGCGAACUCUGCCGCCCGGUUUCAAGCAAUUCUCCGCAGCCUCCCGAGUAGCUGGGGUUACAGGCACACACAACCACGCCAGGCUAAUUUUUGUAUUUUUAGUAGAGACAGGGUUUCACCAUGUUGGCCAGGCUGGUCUCGAACUCCCUCCUCAGCCUCCCAAAAUGCUGGGAUUACAGGUGUGAGUCACCAUGCCCAGCCCAUCUUAUUGGCUCUUAAUAACUCAGACCAUAUGGUGAUAACUCCCAAAUCAGCACCCUCCCAAGUUCUGGCCCCGUGAAUUCAGUUGCUGAAUCCAAGUUCCUGAUUGGAAGUUCCUCAGGCACCAGCACUUGGGGCACCCGAGUGCUCUGCUCCAGGGGCUCAUCCCCGCUGGAAGCUUGAAUGUCUGCUCCUCCUUCUCUUCACCCAGCUCAGCCAAUCACUGUGUCCCUGAUUCUGCCUUCUUGCUGUCUUGCCAGUGUGUCUGCUCCUUUCUGUCCCUUCUCCCUGGAUGACUGCCAGUGCUUCCUGUUGCCCUCCCUGCCUCCAACUCUCCCUACCACCUGCAUGGCAGCCAGAGUGGGGUUCCUGCAAAUCUCCCCAAGUCUGUUUCCUACUUGGCCACAGAGCACCUUGCAGUUCCUCGAUGGAGCCAGUCUUCCUCUUGCCUCCAGCCUUUUGCUGUUUCUCCACCACCAGUCAUCUGGGCUACCCUCUAUUCUUCCAGGAGGUCACAGCCUAGAAGUCACAUCCUCUGAGUGGAGUCACCUGUCCACCCUUCCCUGGAGUAGGGAUCCUGACCUUAGGUUUAUCGUGACCCUUUCCACCUCCCCAGUCUGCCUUCAGCCCCCUCCGUCUCACUGGAUCCUCCUUCUCUCCUUGGGCACAAGGCUCUUCUGAUGGGCAAACACUAUGGUCAACUUUGGCCCCUUGCCCUCUGACCUUUCUAGGGUGGCAGCAGCGACCUGUUGACCUCUCCAUCUGUAUUUUAUUUAAACUCCUCUCUACCCUCUCCUUCCUAGAACUCUCUCCCUCUUGCAAGAUUCCUCAGUCCACUUUGGGCCUCUGUUUGUGAUUCUCAUCUCUUAUGUCUCCUCAGUUGACCCCUUGUUCGUUAACAUUCUCCUCCAUGCUGAUGAAACCCGCCAGGCUCCAGCCUUGAUGUUUAACUCUUGCCAGCCACCUCUGGCUGGCCGCAGGCUCCUUGGACUCCAUGUAUCCAGAAGUACUUAGCAUCUUCCCUUCUUCCUCAACAAGGGGCUCCUCCUGUAAUAGCCUCUGUCUCGGUGCCUGGUCCCCACUCCCAGCAGGAUUCCACGAGCACACCUGCAUGGCAGAUACACCUGACAGCAAUAACUUGAGAAGAAUCUGCAUUCGGAAUUUGGAGCUAAGGAAUCCGAGAGUGGGCAACCCAGAGACUCAUUCCU
rnacentral:lncRNA from 1 species